rnacentral:rRNA from 1 species
CGCGAAGAACCUUACCAGGACUUGACAUGCUAGUAGUAGUGAUCCGAAAGGUGAGCCAUCCAGGCUUCGGCUUGGAAGCUAGCACAGGUGGUGCAUGGUUGUCGUCAGCUCGUGCCGUGAGGUGUCGGGUUAAGUCCUUUAACGAGCGCAACCCUUGUCCUUAGUUGCCAGCGGUUCGGCCGGGCACUCUAGGGAGACCGCCGCCUAAAAGCGGAGGAAGGUGGGGAUGACGUCAAAUCAUCACGCCCCUUAUGUCCUGGGCUACACACGUGCUACAAUGGCUAUGAUAAAGGGAAGCAAAGGAGCGGUCCUGAGCCAAUCCUCAAAAGUAGCCUCAGUUCGGAUUGUAGGCUGCAAUUCGCCUACAUGAAGUUGGAAUUGCUAGUAAUCGUGGAUCAGCUACGCCACGGUGAAUACGUUCUCAGCCCUUGUACACACCGCCCGUCACACCACCCGAGUUGGAUGCACCCGAAGAUAUUCAACCAACCUGCUUGCAGGAGGGAGAUUGUUGAAGGUGUGUUUGGCAAGGGGGAUGAAGUCGUAACAAGGUAACCUUAAUUAAAA